rnacentral:rRNA from 1 species
GUGGGGAAUCUUCCACAAUGGACGAAAGUCUGAUGGAGCAACGCCGCGUGAGUGAAGAAGGGUUUCGGCUCGUAAAGCUCUGUUGUCGGGGACGAAUGUGCAGUAUUUGAAUAAAGUAGUGUAAUGACGGUACCUGACGAGGAAGCCACGGCUAACUACGUGCCAGCAGCCGCGGUAAUACGUAGGUGGCAAGCGUUGUCCGGAAUUAUUGGGCGUAAAGGGAGCGCAGGCGGGAAGGUAAGUCGGUCUUAAAAGUGCGGGGCUCAACCCCGUGAUGGGAUCGAAACUAUCUUUCUUGAGUGCAGGAGAGGAAAGUGGAAUUCCUAGUGUAGCGGUGAAAUGCGUAGAUAUUAGGAGGAACACCAGUGGCGAAGGCGACUUUCUGGACUGUAACUGACGCUGAGGCUCGAAAGCCAGGGGAGCGAACGGGAUUAGAAACCCUGGUAGUCC